GACGAACGCUGGCGGCGUGCUUAACACAUGCAAGUCGAACGGAAAGGCCCUGCUUUUGUGGGGUGCUCGAGUGGCGAACGGGUGAGUAACACGUGAGUAACCUGCCCUUGACUUUGGGAUAACUUCAGGAAACUGGGUCUAAUACCGGAUAGGAGCUCCUGCUGCAUGGUGGGGGUUGGAAAGUUUCGGCGGUUGGGGAUGGACUCGCGGCUUAUCAGCUUGUUGGUGGGGUAGUGGCUUACCAAGGCUUUGACGGGUAGCCGGCCUGAGAGGGUUACCGGCGACAUUGGGACUGAGAGACGGCCCAGACUCCUACGGGAGGCAGCAGUGGGGAAUAUUGCACAAUGGGCGGAAGCCUGAUGCAGCAACGCCGCGUGCGGGAUGAAGGCCUUCGGGUUGUAAACCGAUUUCGCAUGUGACGAAGCGUGAGUGACGGUAAUGGGUAAAGAAGCACCGGCUAACUACGUG
rnacentral:rRNA from 1 species